UACGAAGGGGGCUAGCGUUGUUCGGAAUUACUGGGCGUAAAGCGCACGUAGGCGGAUAUUUAAGUCAGGGGUGAAAUCCCAGAGCUCAACUCUGGAACUGCCUUUGAUACUGGGUAUCUCGAGUAUGGAAGAGGUGAGUGGAAUUCCGAGUGUAGAGGUGAAAUUCGUAGAUAUUCGGAGGAACACCAGUGGCGAAGGCGGCUCACUGGUCCAUUACUGACGCUGAGGAGCGAAAGCAUGGGGAGCGAACAGG
rnacentral:rRNA from 1 species